AACGCACAUUGCGCCCUCUGGUAUUCCGGGGGGCAUGCCUGUUCGAGCGUCAUUAUAACCACUCAAGCUCUCGCUUGGUAUUGGGGUUCGCAGUUUCGCGGCCCCUAAAAUCAGUGGCGGUGCCUGUCGGCUCUACGCGUAGUAAUACUCCUCGCGAUUGAGUCCGGUAGGUCUACUUGCCAGCAACCCCUAAUUUUUUUUAAGGUUGACCUCGGAUCAGGUAGGGAUACCCGCUGAACUUAA
rnacentral:misc_RNA from 1 species